UGGGGAAUAUUGCACAAUGGAGGGAACUCUGAUGCAGCGACGCCGCGUGAACGAAGAAGGCUUUCGAGUCGUAAAGUUCUUUUAUAUGGGAAGAUAAUGACGGUACCAUAAGAAAAAGCCCCGGCUAACUACGUGCCAGCAGCCGCGGUAAUACGUAGGGGGCUAGCGUUAUCCGGAAUCACUGGGCGUAAAGGGUUCGCAGGCGGAAAUGCAAGUCAGGUGUAAAAGGCAGUAGCUUAACUACUGUAAGCAUUUGAAACUGCAUAUCUUGAGAAGAGUAGAGGUAAGUGGAAUUUUUAGUGUAGCGGUGAAAUGCGUAGAUAUUAAAAAGAAUACCGGUGGCGAAGGCGACUUACUGGGCUCAUUCUGACGCUGAGGAACGAAAGCGUGGGUAGCAAACAGG
rnacentral:rRNA from 2 species